UUCAGUUAAAUUGAUUUCUACUCCAUCUUCUCGCCUCCCUCAACCUUACACUACCUCCCUCCAUUAAUUCCACCAACCCAUCCGCCUUCUUCAAUUCAAUUCACCCACCCACCACAACCUCACUCCAUUAAACUCUCCCACCCACCACCUUCCUCCAUUUCACUGAUUUAAUCGGAUGAAAUCCAUUCCCCCACUAACCCACUGCCUCCUUCAUUCCACUGAAACCCUAGUUCGUGUAAAACGCCUCCCUCCAUGAAUUGAUUUCAGCCAGCAUCCACCUCCUUUAUCACCUACCGAAAACCCUAAUUUUGUCACCCCAUCGCCUCCCUCCAUUAUUCUCACUGAAACCCUAACUUUGUGGGUUUGCGAUGCCAGGAGAUCCCGACUCCUGUCUUUGUUUUUCGUCCGACGAUCUGGACGACCUCGUCUACCCAGACACGCCAGAGCAUAUAUGGCCCUCAUACCCCCCCCAUCAUCGCCCCCUAUCAUGUCAGAACCUUUACCGACACCGUUGUCCCCGAAAAGGACCCUAAAUUCCUCGCCCCAUCUGAGAUGUUUGAGUACUUUGGCUCUGAAAGCCCAUACUAUGGUCCACCACCACCAGCCACCUCUGUCAACAUACCUCAAGUUUCCCUCAUCGUGUAUUCGGAUGUUGAGAUGGAAAUAUUUACGAUCUUGCUGCCUAGGUUUUUGGAUCUAAUCUAAGUAUGUUGUCCCUCAAAUUCCUAUAUUUCGGUUUGGAUGAUGUGGGUUUGGAGGUUGUGGUUGUUCGAUAGAUUGGAGGCUGUGGGUGUGGAUGAGUUUGGAGGCUGGGGGUUUGGAUUGAUUUAGGGUUUCUGGUUGUUGUUUAAUCUGGAGGCUGUGGGUGUGGAUGGGUUUGGAGGCUGUGGGUUUGAAUGCUAUGGUUGUUGUUUGAUCUGGAGGCUGUUGGUGUGGAUGGGUUUGGCUGAUGUGGGUUUGGAGGCUUUGGUUGUUGUUUUAUCUGGAUGUUGUGGUUUUGAUAAUUGCUGAUGUUGAGUUGUUCCUUAUGAUGAUUGUGUUGCUCAUAUUGAUCUGUUCCCUGUGAUGAUUUUGUAUGGUUUGCUGAUACUGUUGUGUUCCCUGUGAUGAUUUUGUUUGUGUUGCUUGUUGUUGAGUUGUUCUGAUUAAUAAGCCACCCCUGUUCUUAGGUUAGGAGACUUAUUUGUCCAUGAUUUAACCAUGCUAUUUGAGGGAUUAGGCUUAAAAAACCAUACAAAUUCAUGAUAGAAAUAGUUUCACAGUACAAGUCACCCAUGUACAUGGUUAUGAGGCUGUUAUGUGAGAUAGUCACCCUUAGAGGCCACCCCUUACACAGGUUUGGAGGCUGCCCUAUGAUGAAAUCUUUCUGAGGGAUUAGGAUUUUAGAAGCCACCCUUAUGGAGGUUUGGAGGCUUUACAAAAUGACAAAAAACAGUUGAACAACAUAAGCCACACCUAAUUCUGAGGCUUACACACCUAACUGAUAAAAAGUAUGAUUCCUACAUGCUGAACUAGAAGCCUACAACUUCAGUGACACCCGAGAUGUCAUAAUUUGUACGCACAUCAUUUUCUAGCAGUUGGAGGUAUGCCACAGCAGCCUUCACAAUUCCUUCUUCAACCUCUAAUGCAUCUGGCAGUGUCCUCAUCCUUGUUAACCUCUCUUUAUUCAUGUGUGGAGUUUUGUAUCCAUUUCCCCUUGCACCUUAAGUAUCUCAGUUAGACAACCUUGUAGAAUAAGGAAAACAUUAUUGAGUGUGUAUUGACUAAGUUCAUCAAAAGAGCUAUGCACAUUCCUCAACAAGUCAUCCACUCCCUUAGCCACUUUAUCAUCCUGUAGAGAUUGGAUUGCUCUAAAAUAUCCCAAAUCCAACACAUUACAAUCUGGGGAUUGUGGUGGUUGGCACCUGAUAUGGAACUUGAACCCAUCUGUGGAAGCAACUGACAGAAAAUCUGCAUUAUUGUGGUUUAUAUGAGGCUUGGCAUUGUCUUGUUGAAUGAAUAUCUCUUUGCUUAUAUUCUCUGGCCAUUUUGCCUUGAUUACUGGUAUGAUCUACACAUAUAUGAUCUGUUACUAUGUGAUUGAAUAAAUAAGGAAAAAAAGUGUACCUUUUGAAUUAGACAUUCUCUCAUCACUUCCUUGUUCACUGAUUGAAUGGGCUUUGUCUCCAUAGUCCCUCUUGGUCUGUUCUUGGAUUUUCUCUUUGCUGGCUCCACAGUUGUGAAUGGAAAAAUGCAUAUUUUUCCAUCAAAAAUUACUUCCCCAUCUUCUGCAAAAUGUGGUCUACACACAACACACAUAAACAUCACCUUUGUGAUGAACCGCUUUGACUUACAUGAUCUAUAUGGCUUAAUCUCAUCUGGCAGCAGGUACUCCACUCUGAAUUUGAAGUUUUGCAUCUGCCCAUAUUCUCUGGACUGUCUUCCGGCAUACUCCAAACUCUUUUGGAGCCUGUUCAAUAGCUCCAUAUGGUACUUCUCCUGCCUGGCUCGAUUGCAGCAGACUUUGAGCUAGCAAAUUUUUGGUGGUGCUUGGUAUUAUGCGUGAGUCUCUUCCAGCAGGCUCCUCCAUAGCCCGGUGAUGAAAUUUUUCUGAGGGCACUCAAGAGGAAUCGAACUCGGCGCCUCAUACAAUAAUGUUUAAGCUCCUUGCCGCUAGGACAAAGGCUCUGGACAUUUUUUGUAGUUGUAGCUAUUCCUUUUAUAGAUAGGUGUAGCUUGAAUUUCCCUCCAUUGUUGUGUGUAUGAAAUGGUGUUCCCUCCAUUAGUUUGAAUUAAUUUCCCUCCUAAGUGUAGUAGGUUGUUGGGGAAUUCCCUCUCAAAAUGUAUGGAUUAGGGUGGCAGCACCUAUAUUUGGAAAUGCAGAGGCCGAUUUUUAUUUA